UACGAAGGGGGCUAGCGUUGCUCGGAAUCACUGGGCGUAAAGCGCACGUAGGCGGCUUCUUAAGUCAGGGGUGAAAUCCUGGAGCUCAACUCCAGAACUGCCUUUGAUACUGAGGAGCUUGAGUCCGGGAGAGGUGAGUGGAACUGCGAGUGUAGAGGUGAAAUUCGUAGAUAUUCGCAAGAACACCAGUGGCGAAGGCGGCUCACUGGCACGGUACUGACGCUGAGGUGCGAAAGCGUGGGGAGCAAACAGG
rnacentral:rRNA from 1 species